GGGACCCGCACAAGCAGCGGAGCGUGUGGUUUAAUUCGUUGCUACACGAAGAACUUACCUGGGUUUGACAUAUAGGUUGUAGGGAACUGAAAAGGGACCGACCCUUCGGGGAGCCUAUACAGGUGUUGCAUGGCUGUCGUCAGCUCGUGUCGUGAGAUGUUCGGUUAAGUCCGCUAACGAGCGCAACCCUCGUCGUAUGUUAUAUGUGUCAUACGAGACUGCCGGUAAAAGCCGGAGGAAGGUGAGGAUGAUGUCAAGUCAGCAUGACCUUUAUAUCCAGGGCUACACACACGCUACAAUGGUCUGUACAAUGGGUAGCCAAGCCGCGAGGCGGAGCCAAUCCUGAAAGCAGGCCUCAGUUCAGAUUGCAGUCUGCAACUCGACUGCAUGAAGCCGGAGUUGCUAGUAACCGCAGGUCAGCAAUACUGCGGUGAAUACGUUCCCGGGUCUU
rnacentral:rRNA from 1 species